UGUCACAUAAAAUUAAAAGCUUUUUAGUGUUUAAAAUAGCAUUUACACAUAAGCAGCUAUAUAUUAACUAUACAGACACUUGGGCUUUAAUACAAUAUCUACAAAAAAAAGAAUUCAAUUAUGCAAUAGACAUUUAACAGGAACAGUGCAGUCCAUGCUAGUAAAAGGUCACUCUUUGAGUAGAACCAAUUCUAGAAUAGGUGAUAGUCUGGGUUUUCAUUAUUUAAAAUUGUUUUACUUUUUCCCCCCCCUCUAACUGUACAUAAAUUCUUUACACAUAUUUCUAAUCACUGAUUAGAAUUAAUAAUUUUUUAAGUCAAUCUUAUUACAAUCCAGUUAAAUGCAAAACAAAAACAGUUACAUCAACUCAUCAGCUGUCAGUCUCAAGAUGGGACCGUCAAUUUGACAAGAACAAAAAAAACAAAAACAAACAAACAAACAAAAAAUAUAUAUAUAUAUAUAUCAAAAGUCAAUGCCUGUGCAUCAUUGUUUGCAAUCCAAUAUGCCUUUGGAUAAAGUGUCCAGGGACUAUUUCAUUUGAAAAGCAAAUGUGAUAACAGAAGGUCAAAAGACAACAGCGGUGCCUUUAAGACUAUAAAAUACCAUUUGCCAAUAACUUACUCCUUAGAAAGUUAAUACAUUAGGUGCGUGCAUUACCCUGACAUUCAAGUAGGAGGCGUCACCCCAAACCCUUAGCACAUGCAUGUUUCCUAAGCCACAAAGCACACCCUUGUCUUUAUUCACUGCUGCCGGCACCAAGGAAGGAACAACAGCGUGAGUCCAGCGGCAGUGCACAGACAGAUUUUCUUAGCUCUCCUUUCCGGGAUUAAAAAGCUCCUCCUCUCUUUAAGUCUCCUGUUAUGAGGUCAGCUUGCCCUGCGAAGCCCUUCUGGUAUCACACCUGCAAGUGCCUUGAAAGGUGAGCCUGUUACUUCCCACUGCAGCAGAACAGGACAGGUCAAGAUACAUUCCUGGGGUCAGGCUAGCACCAGCCCCGUGACCUGAAAGGAGCACACUACAGCGAGUCCUGCUAAGAAGAAGAUGCUCCCGGAAAGCCCCCAUCUGUUCACAUUGUUUCCACCCUGCACAGAACUUACUACGGCAAGUAGCCUCCUCACUUCCGCAGCGCCCGCCUGCCCAGUUUGCAAGGCCCCCCGAAUGGCACAGAUCAACUGGUCUGCGUUUCAAGGCAUCGGAAGGAUUUGAGAGAGAUCCUCUCUCAUCCUUCACGGAAGUUAAGUGACUUCACGGGCCGCAUUCCUGCUUCACAUGCUUUGCCACGUGCACUGACUUCAGUGGAGAUAAUCUGCUUUAUACCAGGGUAAGGUGAGGAGAGUCAGGCCCUGUGUACUAUACACCAUGGCCAUUACAUAUUGCACCGUUCAUCAAAUGUGUGUCUAUGUUCUCCCGCUGGCCUCCAGCGAAGAGAAUUUCUACGUGCUAUUCAGUAACCUGUGCGUCUGCCGGCAUGCGCGGUGCCAAGCAGAUUCUGCGUGCAUGGUCUUAGCUGGAGCCAAGUUGAACAGAACCAGGUUGAUUUUUAACUCACAACCAGAAGAGAACUUGGGAGCUUAAAUAUCCCUCAGCAGAUGAAUCCCUUCCCAUGCCUGCAGUAUGGGCUGCAUCAGCCUCCUUCCAGAGAUACCCCCCUCCCACACAGUAAUACAUAACACAAUCUUUUCAAUGUAGCAGCAAAGGCCAACAAGACACAUAACAGUUUUUCUGCCAACAGCACGUACUACAUCGACAACAGAAAAAAGAAAGGAAAAGAAGGAAAAAGAAACAAAAAUACGCCUCCCACCCCACCAACAGCAA